rnacentral:rRNA from 1 species
GAUGAACGCUGGCGGCGUGCCUAAUACAUGCAAGUCGAGCGAACGGACGAGAAGCUUGCUUCUCUGAUGUUAGCGGCGGACGGGUGAGUAACACGUGGAUAACCUACCUAUAAGACUGGGAUAACUUCGGGAAACCGGAUCUAAUACCGGAUAAUAUUUUGAGCCGCAUGGUUCAAAAGUGAAAGACGGUCUUGCUGUCACUUAUAGAUGGAUCCGCGCUGCAUUAGCUAGUUGGUAAGGUAACGGCUUACCAAGGCAACGAUGCGUAGCCGACCUGAGAGGGUGAUCAGCCACACUGGAACUGAGACACGGUCCAGACUCCUACGGGAGGCAGCAGUAGGGAAUCUUCCGCAAUGGGCGAAAGCCUGACGGAGCAACGCCGCGUGAGUGAUGAAGGUCUUCGGAUCGUAAAACUCUGUUAUUAGGGAAGAACAUAUGUGUGAGUAACUGUGCACGUCUUGACGGUACCUAAUCAGAAAGCCACGGCUAACUACGUG